GACAUAGGUGGCAAACGUUAUCCGGAAUCAUUGGGCGUAAAGGGUGCGUAGGUGGGCAGGUAAGUCAGUGGUGAAAUCUCUGGGCUUAACCCGGAAACUGCCGUUGAUACUAUCUGUCUUGAAUAUAGUGGAGGUGAGCGGAAUAUGUCAUGUAGCGGUGAAAUGCUUAGAUAUGACAUAGAACAUCGAUUGCGAAGGCAGCUCGCUACACUAUGAUUGACACUGAGGCACGAAAGCGUGGGGAUCAAACAGG
rnacentral:rRNA from 1 species